AUGAACCGCGAAAAAAAUGCAGCAGUGUUUUGUUUUUUGUUUGUUUUUUUUUUUCUUAAAAAAAAAAAAGAAGAAGGCGAUCAAUGAUGCGCAUACCAUU
rnacentral:ribozyme from 1 species